CCUACGGGUGGCAGCAGUGGGGAAUAUUGCACAAUGGGGGAAACCCUGAUGCAGCGACGCCGCGUGAGUGAAGAAGUAUUUCGGUACGUAAAGCUCUAUCAGAAGGGAAGAAAAAAAGUCCUUUGGACUUUGGACGGUACCUGACCAAGAAGCCCCGGCUAACUACGUGCCAGCAGCCGCGGUAAUACGGAGGGGGCAAGCGUUAUCCGGAUUUACUGGGUGUAAAGGGGGCGCAGACGGCAGCGCAAGCCAUGAGUGAAAGCCCGGGGCUCAACCCCGGGACUGCUCUUGGAACGGCGCGGCUGGAGUGCGGGAGGGGCAGGGGGAAUUCCUGGUGUAGCGGUGAAAUGCGUAGAUAUCAGGAGGAACACCGGUGGCGAAGGCGGCCUGCUGGAC
rnacentral:rRNA from 1 species